rnacentral:rRNA from 1 species
CGGACGGGUGAGUAACGCGUGGGUAACCUGCCUCAUACAGGGGGAUAACAGUUAGAAAUGACUGCUAAUACCGCAUAAGACCACAGCACCGCAUGGUGCAGGGGUAAAAACUCCGGUGGUAUGAGAUGGACCCGCGUCUGAUUAGGUAGUUGGUGGGGUAACGGCUUACCAAGCCGACGAUCAGUAGCCGACCUGAGAGGGUGACCGGCCACAUUGGGACUGAGACACGGCCCAG